UACGUAGGGUGCGAGCGUUGUCCGGAAUUACUGGGCGUAAAGAGCUCGUAGGUGGUUUGUCGCGUUGUUCGUGAAAACUCACAGCUUAACUGUGGGCGUGCGGGCGAUACGGGCAGACUGGAGUACUGCAGGGGAGACUGGAAUUCCUGGUGUAGCGGUGGAAUGCGCAGAUAUCAGGAGGAACACCGGUGGCGAAGGCGGGUCUCUGGGCAGUAACUGACGCUCAUGCACGAAAAGCGUGGGGGAGCAAACAGG
rnacentral:rRNA from 1 species